GGGCGGUUCGCUGACCGGCGCUUCGGUGACCGGCGCUUCGCUGACGGGCUUUUUUGCCACACCCAGUUCCACUUCUAGUGGAAGUUUGAGCAGCUGGGAAAGAAGAAAGGAGGAAAGAAAAGCUAACACCGCUACUGGUCUAGAUGGCUUAGUUGGAGGAUUGACCCAGAUCUUCAACCAUGAGGAUCUGAGCCCCUGGUUACCAUGCACUUCUCGGGCCUAACUGCUAACUUUAUCCAUUUACCAUCAAAACUGGGGUAAAUGACCAGGUACGCCACCUGAAGCUCUGCUCAUUGGAUUUCCUCUCACAGCUAUUUUCAAGGCUACCCCUGAUUGGCACUUCAGUGCAGCUGCCAUCCAUUUUCGACUUGAACCUGUAUAAGAGGCCAAUCCACCUAUGAACCCAGCUUGAUCUUAUGCCUGCUUUGUCAGUCAUAAAGAACACUCUCUACCCCCACCAUAUGGCCAUAGUUUUGAGCUGAGGGAGAGAUGUCAGUUCAUCAGUGGCACAUGACAUGGGGGUCUGGAUGCAGGCUCAUGAUCCAUGGAUACAGUGGACCACUGUGAUAUUCUGUGAGAUGUCCAGCUAGUCCAAGUGUCUUCAGAUUAUAUUAUGGCAGAGGGUAGAAGAUUUAACAUAGCCCUGAGAAUAGACUAAAUGUAUACUGUUAUCCGUUCCAAGAGAACAUAACCUGUUUCUGAUUCUCCUUUUUGAUAGGGAUGGAAAUGAAAGCAUUUGCCAGCUCAAUGCCUGCCUACCACAUACCUGAAGCUGUGUAACUCUGCUCCAGCAAAAGUACUGUAUCUGGCAUAGCUGCUGCAAGUACAACUACUACUUCGUUGAAUUUGUGAUAGUCUACUGUCACCCCCCAGAAUCCAUCUGGUUUUUGCAAGAUCCAGACUGGUCAAUUAAAUGGAGAUACACUGGGGACUAGUAUCCCUGCAUUCU